GAGUUUGAUCGUGGCUCAGAUUGAACGCUGGCGGCAUGCCUUACACAUGCAAGUCGAACGGCAGCAUGAUCUAGCUUGCUAGAUUGAUGGCGAGUGGCGAACGGGUGGGUAAUACAUCGGAACGUGCCCUGUAGUGGGGGAUAACUAGUCGAAAGAUUAGCUAAUACCGCAUACGACCUGAGGGUGAAAGUGGGGGACCGCAAGGCCUCAUGCUAUAGGAGCGGCCGAUGUCUGAUUAGCUAGUUGGUGGGGUAAAGGCCCACCAAGGCGACGAUCAGUAGCUGGUCUGAGAGGACGAUCAGCCACACUGGGACUGAGACACGGCCCAGACUCCUACGGGAGGCAGCAGUGGGGAAUUUUGGACAAUGGGCGAAAGCCUGAUCC
rnacentral:rRNA from 1 species